rnacentral:tRNA from 1 species
GGCCAUAUAGCUCAGUGGUAGAGCAAACGGCUGUUAACCGUUUGGUCGCAGGUUCAAUCCCUGCUGUGGCCG